GACAGAGGGUGCAAGCGUUGUUCGGAAUUAUUGGGCGUAAAGGGCGCGUAGGCGGCGAUGCAAGUCAGAUGUGAAAGCUCUGGGCUCAACCCAGAAAGUGCAUCUGAUACUGCUUUGCUUGAGUCCCGGAGAGGGUGGUGGAAUUCCUGGUGUAGAGGUGAAAUUCGUAGAUAUCAGGAGGAACACCGGUGGCGAAGGCGACCACCUGGACGGAGACUGACGCUGAGGCGCGAAAGCGUGGGGAGCAAACAGG
rnacentral:rRNA from 1 species